rnacentral:rRNA from 1 species
GAUAAACGCUGGCGGUGUACAUAAGACAUGCAAGUCGAACGGGAGAAGACAGGAAGAUUUAUCUACUUGUUGGACACCGUGGCGGACGGGUGAGUAACACGUAAGCAACCUGCCUAUAAGAGGGGAAUAACAGUGAGGAAUUACUGAUAAUACCGCAUAAGCUGGAGGUAUCGCAUGAUACAUUCAGAAAAGAUUUAUCGCUUAUAGAUGGGCUUGCGUCUGAUUAGCUAGUUGGUGAGAUAACAGCUCACCAAGGCGACGAUCAGUAGCCGGAUUGAGAGGUUGAACGGCCACAUUGGGACUGAGACACGGCCCAGACUCCUACGGGAGGCAGCAGUCGGGAAUAUUGCACAAUGGAGGAAACUCUGAUGCAGUGACACCGCGUAUAGGAAGAAGGUCUUAGGAUUGUAAGCUAUUGUCGUGNGAGAAGAAAA